UACAGAGGUGGCAAGCGUUGUUCGGAAUUACUGGGCGUAAAGGGCGCGUAGGCGGUCUUCUAAGUCUUGUGUGAAAUCCCUCGGCUCAACUGAGGAACUGCACGGGAUACUGGAAGACUUGAGUUCGGGAGAGGGAAGCGGAAUUCCGGGUGUAGCGGUGAAAUGCGUAAAUAUCCGGAGGAACACCGGUGGCGAAGGCGGCUUCCUGGACCGAUUACUGACGCUGAGGCGCGAAAGCUAGGGGAGCAAACGGG
rnacentral:rRNA from 1 species